UAGUCCACAGGAAGACCUGCACCACUGU
rnacentral:piRNA from 1 species